rnacentral:rRNA from 1 species
AUACGGAGGGUGCAAGCGUUACUCGGAAUCACUGGGCGUAAAGCGCGCGCAGGCGGGCUGAUAAGUUGGAUGUGAAAGCCUACGGCUCAACCGUAGAACUGCAUCCAAAACUGUCAGUCUAGAGUCUGGGAGGGGAAGAUGGAAUUAGUUGUGUAGGGGUAAAAUCCGUAGAGAUAACUAGGAAUACCAAAAGCGAAGGCGAUCUUCUGGAACAGUACUGACGCUGAGGCGCGAAGGCGUGGGGAGCAAACAGGAUUAGAUACCCCAGUAGUCC